GUCGAGCGGCAGCGCGGGGGCAACCCUGGCGGCGAGCGGCGAACGGGUGAGUAAUACAUCGGAACGUAUCCCGUAGAGGGGGAUAGCCCGGCGAAAGCCGGAUUAAUACCGCAUAUGCUCUACGGAGGAAAGCGGGGGACUCGCAAGGGCCUCGCGCUAUGGGAGCGGCCGAUGGCCGAUUAGCUAGUUGGUGGGGUAAAGGCCUACCAAGGCGACGAUCGGUAGCUGGUCUGAGAGGAUGAUCAGCCACACUGGGACUGAGACACGGCCCAGACUCCUACGGGAGGCAGCAGUGGGGAAUUUUGGACAAUGGGGGAAACCCUGAUCCAGCCAUGCCGCGUGCGGGAAGAAGGCCUUCGGGUUGUAAACCGCUUUUAGUCGGGAAGAAAGGGUUCUCUUGAAUACGGAGGAUCUUUGACGGUACCGGCGGAAUAAGCACCGGCUAACUACGUGCCAGCAGCCGCGGUAAUACGUAGGGUGCGAGCGUUAAUCGGAAUUACUGGGCGUAAAGAGUGCGUAGGCGGUUGCUGAAGUCCGCUGUGAAAGCCCCGGGCUCAACCUGGGAAUGGCAGUGGAAACUAGGCGACUUGAAUCUGGCAGAGGGGGGUGGAAUGCCGCGUGUAGCAGUGAAAUGCGUAGAGAUGCGGCGGAACACCGAUGGCGAAGGCAGCCCCCUGGGCUGAGAUUGACGCUCAGGCACGAAAGCGUGGGGAGCAAACAGGAUUA
rnacentral:rRNA from 1 species